rnacentral:rRNA from 1 species
CUCAGGAUAAACGCUGGCGGCGUGCAUAACACAUGCAAGUCGAACGAUGAAGCUUAGAUGAUUUCUUCGGAAUGAACUUAAGUGGAUUAGUGGCGAACGGGUGAGUAACACGUGAGUAACCUGCCUUAUACAAGGGGAUAGCCUCUGGAAACGGAGAAUAAUACCCUAUAAAGUCUAAUCAGCACAUGCUGGAAAGACCAAAGAUUUAUCGGUGUAAGAUGGACUUGCGUCUGAUUAGCUAGUUGGUGAGAUAAAAGCUCACCAAGGCGACGAUCAGUAGCCGGCUUGAGAGAGUGUACGGCCACAUUGGGACUGAGACACGGCCCAAACUCCUACGGGAGGCAGCAGUGGGGAAUUUUGCACAAUGGGGGAAACCCUGAUGCAGCGACGCCGCGUGAUUUAGAAGGCCUUCGGGUUGUAAAAAUCUUUUUUACGGGAUGAAAAUGACAGUACCGUAAGAAUAAGGUCCGGCUAAAUACGUGCCAGCAGCCGCGGUAAUACGUAUGGACCGAGCGUUGUCCGGAAUCAUUGGGCGUAAAGGGUACGUAGGCGGCCUAGUAAGUUAGAAGUGAAAGAAUAUAGCUCAACUAUAUAAAGCUUUUAAAACUGUUAGGCUUGAGAGAUGAAAGGGAAAGUGGAAUUCCUAGUGUAGCGGUGAAAUGCGCAGAUAUUAGGAAGAAUACCGGUGGCGAAGGCGACUUUCUGGUCAUCAUCUGACGCUGAGGUACGAAAGCGUGGGUAGCAAACAGGAUUAGAUACCCUGGUAGUCCACGCUGUAAACGAUGAGUGUUAGGUUCUUGGAAUAAUCUGGGAGCCGCAAGCUAACGCAUUAAACACUCCGCCUGGGGAGUACGCACGCAAGUGUGAAACUCAAAGGAAUUGACGGGGACCCGCACAAGCAGCGGAGCAUGUGGUUUAAUUCGACGCAACGCGAAGAACCUUACCAAGUCUUGACAUAUUACGGAGGGAAUUAGAGAUAAUUCCUUACCACUUCGGUGGACUGUAAUUACAGGUGGUGCAUGGUUGUCGUCAGCUCGUGUCGUGAGAUGUUGGGUUAAGUCCCAUAACGAGCGCAACCCCUAUCGUUAGUUACCAUCAUUAAGUUGGGGACUCUAGCGAUACUGCCGGUGAUAAACCGGAGGAAGGUGGGGACGACGUCAAAUCAUCAUGCCCUUUAUGACUUGGGCUACACACGUGCUACAAUGGCAGAUACAGAGGGCAGCGAAAGAGUGAUCUGAAGCGAAACUCACAAAAUCUGUCCCAGUUCGGAUUGUACUCUGCAACUCGAGUACAUGAAGUUGGAGUUGCUAGUAAUCGCGAAUCAGAAUGUCGCGGUGAAUGCGUUCCCGGGUCUUGUACACACCGCCCGUCACACCAUGGAGUUGGCAAUACCCGAAGCCUGUGAGCGAACCAUUA